CGUUCGGGGCCGAGCCCGGCCUCCUUUGUACCGAGCCGGCGGGGCCAGGCCGAGGCUCCCGGCGCGCGGAGCUGCUCAGGGACGCCAGACCGGCCCCGCGCCUGGGGAGAGGAAAUUUCCACUCCCGCCGCUAUCUUGUGACUCGUCCACGCCGCCACCCCGACGGGUCGCAGGAGUGCGAGUGAGUGAGUGAGCAGUGUGUGUGGGUUGCAGGGACGUGUGGCGGUGAGCUAAUCGCCCGAAUACAUUGUGCACGAACGUGCGCUUGAAUUCCGAUGGAGGAAAGGCCCGUAACAAGGUUGGUUCCUCCUCUUUUUUAAUUGCUGCGGAUUUCUUAUAGAUUUGCCUCUUCAGGGGAAAGUCAGUAAUUCCUACAAUUUUUUUUUUCUGUGCAUUCAAAAGAUGUGAGUGAUGUCGUAUGCCUGUUGUCUGAGUGAUCUCUUUGUUUUAAAAGAAAUAUUUAAUCCAUCUACUGGGGUACUGCUGCUUUAGGAUGCCUUUUUGUUUGUAAAGUUAUUACUGUGAAGAUGGCCAAGUGCUUUUUUUUUUUUCCCCCUUUAUUUUUGGGUCUUACACUGAAGUAACUCAUUUCACCUUUUUAAAUCUCUUUGAAAAAUAUUUGGCUGGUGGAUCUUGACACACCUUUACGUUGCUGGAGUUGAAAACUGUUCACAUGUUUAAGAGAAGCAUGAAGACAGUAAAGGAUCUAUGACUCAGAAAAUAAACUUGCUGCCGACUGAAAUGAGCUCCUCCAGGGUGGAAAGGAGACUUGAAGUUCUGUCACAAGCUGAAAGGGGCCUUGGAGGUUUUCUAGCCCAACCUUCACUUUAGAGAUGAGAAAAAUGAGACCCAGCGAGGUUGUGAUUUUGACUGCAUAAAAUUACAUAUUCCGAAGAGCCAAGAGAAGAACCCAGUUCUCCUUUAAUCCUAGUCCAGUGGUUGUAUUAUUUUACAGAUGCCUUGCCUAACUACAUGGUAAUCACUCACGAUUUUUAUUUAAAUUGCUAUCUUCUUUUGGAAACACUUGUGUGAUGCAAUAAAUCUUGCAUCCGGAGUUACAUGGAAAAAAAAUGAACACUUCCAGAGUUUAAUUGUUUCUUGAGUGUAUGAACUUUGUCCUGAAGAAAUUUUUGAAUAGUGGAGACAAAUUAAUUUUUAUAAGCUACCUUUGUUUUUUUCUCUGUUCCUCAGCAUCUUUUUCUAGCAUUGAGUAUUUUCACUUUGUUAGAAUGACCUUUUUUUUUUUUUUUUUUUUAAAGUUCAGAUAGUGCUCUUUAACCUUUGUAUUUUAUGAUCUUGGAGUAGAGAUUUUAUUGGGAAUAUGCAUUUAAAUAGAUAACGUGUACAAGUUUCAAAGUAUAGGGCAGGGUGUAAGGGCUGUAAUAGUACACACAAGUGAAGUUGGGAUUCAUUUUAGAAGGAUUAAGACAAGAUCUCUUUUCAGAGUUGAUAUUUGUUUGUUUUGCAGUACUGGGGGUUGAACCCAGGGGUCUCUACCUCUGAGCUAAAUCUUCUACAUCUCCAGCCCUUUUUUAUCUUUUGUUUUGAGACUAGACCAAAUUGUCUUGAAUUUGUGAUUCUCCUGCCUCAACCUCUCAAGUAGCUGGGAUUACAGGUGUGUGCCAUUUUGUUUGGACAGUAUUUAUGUUACUCUUAAAAAACAAAUAGUAAAUCUCUUUAUAACAAUAAUAUUAAGCUAUUGUAGAAAGGAUAAAAGGUGACAAUUAAUCCAUAAUUUGUUCCCAAUGCAAGGGCAUCCCUCUAAGGAUGUGUGUUGGCCAGGGGUGAGGAGACUGAAGUCCAUCCUCAGUUGGCCAGGCUGUGCUUCUGGAGCAUGACUGGGUCUGCCUCAAUGAGGAGUCCUCUGUUUUAAUUCUCACAAAGGCAAGGUCACUUGGGAAACCUAUGUGUCUUGUGGGACUGUCUGCUAGGAGAGGUACCUUUUUCUAAUUCUCUUGUUGACCCUGCAUAAUAUAAGCUAACUGCCUGAUUUCAUCACAUAAUGUUUCAUAUCUCUUUCUGAAAAGCAUACAUUUCAUUUUUUUUUUAAUCAAAAGAGAUCAUUCUUCUGAGUAUAACAUGAACAUCUUCCCAUGUUAUUUAAAGAUCUACAUUACUUUUUUGUUUUUUUUUUCUGGUACUGGGAAUCAAACCCAGGGGUGCUUUACUUUACCAUUGAGCUACAUCCCCAGCCCUUUUUAUUUUUUAUUUUGAGACCAGAUCUCAUUAAGUUGCUUAGGGCCUUGCUUAGUUGACCACACCGGCCACAAACUUGGGAUCCUCUUGCCUCUUCUUCACAAGUUGCUGGAAUUACAGAUGUACACCACUGUGUCUGGCUUCAUGUCACCAUUUUUAUUGAUAUUUUUAAAAAAUUUAGCUGACCACUGUCCCAUUGCAAUUAGAUAUGCUGUGAUUUUUUUUUUUCCUUUCAUUAUUGUAUGCUGGUCCUCCUGCCUUAUAUUUCCUUCCCCCUGGCAUAUUUGUUUUUGCACAUUUAUGUCCUUGGAUAUAUUUGUACUGGUACACCUUUCGUGUGUACCUUUUGUUGUGUUUUUUUGUUUUUGUUUUUGUUUUUUUUUUUGUGGUACUGGGGAUUGAACCCAGGGCCUUGUGCAUGUAAGGCAAGCACUCUACCAACUCUUUGCAUUUUGAAUACAUGUUGUCAUAAUGCCUUCCUGGAAACCUCUGCAAUUUAUACUUCAACUGAAAGUUGAACUGAAUAUAUAGUGGUAUCUUAUACCUUCAUCAGCAAGGAAGGUAUUCUUACCUGUGUUAUUAAUUUUAAAAACUUACAAGAAAGCUGGUGUGGUGGUGCAUGCCUGUAAUUCCAGUGGCUUAGGAGGCUGAGGCAGGUUGAUUGCAGGUUUGAAGCCAGCCUCAGCAACAUAGUGAGGCUGUAAGCAACCUAGUGAGAUCCUGUCUCAAAAUAAAAAAGGGCUGAGGAUCCUUGGUACCAAAAAUCAAAACAAAACAAAAAAACUUAUAAGAAAGCUCCCUUUUUCAUUUGCACCAAAGUUUUAUUCUAGUUUUCUUUUUGGCUCUCUCUUAUUUACUUUCAGGGCAGGGGAUCAAAUUCAGGUUCUUGAACAUGCUAGGCAGUUGCUCUUCCAUUGAGCUAUACCUUUAGCACCUCUCCUAAUUCUUUAAUCUUUUUUGGUAGGACUUUGCAUUUAUUUGUAUUUUUCUUAUCAAAAUGUUCCAGUUUAUUGACAUUUAAAAAGAAUUCUGAUUUGGUCAUCCAAGAAAUGAUAAAUUAGGCACUUUAUAAACUUGUAAAUUUGAUAAUGCUGACUUUGCCAUCAUGCUCAUCAAGUGCAUUCUUAGCCAGCUAUGGCAGUGCAUGCCUAUAAUCCCAGUGGCUCCGAAGGCUGAGGCAGGGAGGAUUGCAAGUUCAAAAUAAGCCUCAGCAAAAAGCGAGGCACUGAGCAAUUUAGUGAGACCCUGUCUCUAAAUAAAAUAUGAUAAAAAGGGCUGGGGAUUUUGGCUCAGUGGUUGAGUGCCCUUGAGUUCAAUCCCCAGUACUCCACCCCCCGCAAAAAAAAAUUAAAAAAAAAAAAGAGUGCAUCCUUGGCAGUUGUUCUAUCACUGAGUUAUAUCCCCAGUCAUUGGCCCUUCUAAAAAACAUUUUAAAUCCUAAAUUUAAUGUAGGUGGUGGGAGGAAAAUUUGUUAUCAUUUUGUUUUUAACCUUGUAAAACUGCCAGGUCUGCUGGUGUGUAGAGAAAGGUCUUCUGUCUCCACAAUUUUAUAAAUAUAUUCACUUAUAAUCUGAGAUCUUCCCCUCAAAUAUAUUACAUAUAUUAAAAAGCACCCAUGAAAAAUCAAUUUUGCUGUAAACAUUUUGGAUAAAGUGAAAAUAUUGCAUGUUACAUCACAAUUACUGUAUUUAAAACAGCUAUAGACAGAUUUUGAGUGCUUUUAUAUUUGGCUAAUAAAUUAUACUUGGUUAUAUUAGUUGCAAAAUGCUUAUAUGCACAUAUGUCACCUCUUUUGAUUUUCACAACAGCCCUCUAAAGCAGACUUAGUGGGUGAUGGAAAUAUACUUAGAACUGGUAUCUCAAACUGAACUAUUGCAUACUUAUUAAUACACAUCAGGAAUAAGUAGUUGCCAUUUAUGACAACACAGGACAAAGAAAAUUUAGCGCCUACUGGCUGAUGUUGCAAAUAUUAAAUAACUUUGGUGCAUGAAGUAUAGUCAUAGUCAAAGGAGUAAAAGAAGUUUAGAGAUCAUCUUGUGUUACUUAAACUAGGUAGAGGGCCAUGUGUUGCAAUUAACAAUUUUUUAAAAUGAUGAAACAAAAUAGUAAAAAAUCAGGUUUAUUAAUAGUUUUCUAAGAGUGUUGUUUCCUGAAAUGUUUGCAUAUUUUUUUAUAUGCAGAUAUCCUGAUGUAAGAUACAUUUCUUACUGUGGCUUCUAGUCAAAAAAGCUUGAAAGUCAUUCAUCUUGCCCAGUUCCCUCCUGUGAGCCACAGUUAAGAAAUACAUUCUGUGCAACAGGGUCCAUGAAGUGCCAUUUUCUCAGUCAUCUCCUCCCAAUCUGGGUCAUGCCUCAGUAAAUUCUCUGCUCUGGAAGUCAGACUUCAUCCCAUCUUGGGUGUCUAACUGUAGUGGGGAAGACAAAUGUGUACAUUCUCCCAGUAUCACCUUGUUUUAUAAGGUGAUAUCCUAUGCGAGUGACAUUAAUGCAACUUUACAAAAAUAUGCAGUGUUUGGAAAGUAACAGGACUUGCCGUACCUUGUGCAUAGGUUGUAAAUACAGGCCAUAGGUGGGUAUAGUGGUGGCAGAGCAAGGCAGGGCAUGUCCUGAGCCAUCACCCAGAAGGAGCAAGACAACAGUCCUUGGACUUUCCAGGAAGUAGUCCUAUAGGGGAAGGGAGGGAGAGGGCUAAGUCUGUGUUGUGUUGUUUCUGGGUACCAUUGUAAUUAGACUAUAUUAGUGUGUGCCUUAAUAUAGUACAACUUUACCCUACCCCCAAAAUAAUUCAGUUUUUAAAAAUUGACUUUUUAAUGUAUAUACAUAGAAUUAAACUAGUUCAGCUAAAAGGAAA